CCGUAGCUCAGCCUGGUAGAGCGUCGCCCUUGCAAGGCGGAGGCCUCGGGUUCGAAAGCUCUACCGAAAAUCCCGACGGGUCCA
rnacentral:tRNA from 1 species